UUUUGCCUUCAGCCUCUUUACGGUGCUGCCUUGUGGCGUCUUGAUCAAGCAGCAUUGUACAGGGCUAUGACGGCGUAG
rfam:Xiphophorus maculatus strain JP 163 A Contig175.41, whole genome shotgun sequence.